rnacentral:rRNA from 1 species
CAUCUUUAAUAGGAUGUUACGAUUGUGUGAAUACAUAGCACAUUCGAGGUAGACGCAGAGAACUGAAACAUCUAAGUACCUGCAGGAAGAGAAAGAAAAUUCGAUUCCCUGAGUAGCGGCGAGCGAAACGGGAAAAGCCCAAACCAGCAAGCUUGCUUGUUGGGGUUGUAGGACUCCAAUAUGGUAGUUCUUUCAGAUAGUCGAAUGACUUGGAAAAGUCAGUCAAAGAGGGUAAAAACCCCGUAGACGAAAUGUGGAAGACACCUAGGAGGAUCCUGAGUACGGCGGAACACGAGAAAUUCCGUCGGAAUCCGGGAGGACCAUCUCCCAAGGCUAAAUACUCCCUAGUGACCGAUAGUGAACCAGUACCGUGAGGGAAAGGUGAAAAGCACCCCGGAAGGGGAGUGAAAUAGAACCUGAAACCGUGUGCCUACAACAAGUCAAAGCCCGUUAAUGGGUGAUGGCGUGCCUUUUGUAGAAUGAACCGGCGAGUUACGAUUGCAUGCGAGGUUAAGUUGAAGAGACGGAGCCGCAGCGAAAGCGAGUCUGAAUAGGGCGUUUGAGUAUGUAGUCGUAGACCCGAAACCAUGUGAUCUACCCAUGUCCAGGUUGAAGGUGCGGUAAAACGCACUGGAGGACCGAACCCACGUACGUUGAAAAGUGCGGGGAUGAGGUGUGGGUAGCGGAGAAAUUCCAAACGAACUUGGAGAUAGCUGGUUCUCUCCGAAAUAGCUUUAGGGCUAGCCUCGGAAUUGAGAAUGAUGGAGGUAGAGCACUGUUUGGACUAGGGGCCCAUCUCGGGUUACCGAAUUCAGAUAAACUCCGAAUGCCAUUCAUUCAUAUCCGGGAGUCAGACUGUGAGUGAUAAGAUCCAUAGUCGAAAGGGAAACAGCCCAGACCACCAGCUAAGGUCCCAAAAUAUAUGUUAAGUGGAAAAGGAUGUGGGGUUGCACAGACAACUAGGAUGUUGGCUUAGAAGCAGCCACCAUUUAAAGAGUGCGUAAUAGCUCACUAGUCGAGUGACCCUGCGCCGAAAAUGUACCGGGGCUAAACAUAUUACCGAAGCUGUGGAGUACACCUUUAGGUGUAUUGGUAGGAGAGCGUUCUAAGGGCGUUGAAGGCAGAUCGUGAGGACUGCUGGAGCGCUUAGAAGUGAGAAUGCCGGUAUGAGUAGCGAAAGACAGGUGAGAAUCCUGUCCACCGAAUGACUAAGGUUUCCUGGGGAAGGCUCGUCCGCCCAGGGUUAGUCGGGACCUAAGCCGAGGCCGACAGGCGUAGGCGAUGGAUAACAGGUUGAUAUUCCUGUACCCGUUGUUUUUGUUUGAGCAAUGGAGGGACGCAGGAGGCUAAGGAAUGCAGACGAUCGGAAAUGUCUGUCCAAGCAGUAAGUCUGAAGAGGAGUCAAAUGCUUCUUUUCUUAAGGA